UCUUCCACAAUGGACGCAAGUCUGAUGGAGCAACGCCGCGUGAGUGAAGAAGGGUUUCGGCUCGUAAAGCUCUGUUGUUAAAGAAGAACGUGGGUGAGAGUAACUGUUCACCCAGUGACGGUAUUUAACCAGAAAGCCACGGCUAACUACGUGCCAGCAGCCGCGGUAAUACGUAGGUGGCAAGCGUUAUCCGGAUUUAUUGGGCGUAAAGCGAGCGCAGGCGGUCUUUUAAGUCUAAUGUGAAAGCCUUCGGCUCAACCGAAGAAGUGCAUUGGAAACUGGGAGACUUGAGUGCAGAAGAGGACAGUGGAACUCCAUGUGUAGCGGUGAAAUGCGUAGAUAUAUGGAAGAACACCAGUGGCGAAGGCGGCUGUCUGGUCUGUAACUGACGCUGAGGCUCGAAAGCAUGGGUAGCGAACAGGAUUAGAUACCCUGGUAGUCCAUGCCGUAAACGAUGAUUACUAAGUGUUGGAGGGUUUCCGCCCUUCAGUGCUGCAGCUAACGCAUUAAGUAAUCCGCCUGGGGAGUACGACCGCAAGGUUGAAACUCAAAAGAAUUGACGGGGGCCCGCACAAGCGGUGGAGCAUGUGGUUUAAUUCGAAGCUACGCGAAGAACCUUACCAGGUCUUGACAUCUUCUGCCAACCUAAGAGAUUAGGCGUUCCCUUCGGGGACAGAAUGACAGGUGGUGCAUGGUUGUCGUCAGCUCGUGUCGUGAGAUGUUGGGUUAAGUCCCGCAACGAGCGCAACCCUUAUUACUAGUUGCCAGCAUUCAGUUGGGCACUCUAGUGAGACUGCCGGUGACAAACCGGAGGAAGGUGGGGACGACGUCAAAUCAUCAUGCCCCUUAUGACCUGGGCUACACACGUGCUACAAUGGAUGGUACAACGAGUCGCGAAACCGCGAGGUUUAGCUAAUCUCUUAAAACCAUUCUCAGUUCGGACUGUAGGCUGCAACUCGCCUACACGAAGUCGGAAUCGCUAGUAAUCGCGGAUCAGCAUGCCGCGGUGAAUACGUUCCCGGGCCUUGUACACACCGCCCGUCACACCAUGAGAGUUUGUAACACCCAAAGCCGGUGGGGUAACC
rnacentral:rRNA from 1 species